rnacentral:rRNA from 1 species
UACGUAGGGGGCGAGCGUUGUCCGGAUUUAUUGGGCGUAAAGAGCGUGUAGGCGGCCAGGUAGGUCUGCUGUGAAAACUCGAGGCUCAACCUCGAGACGUCGGCGGAAACCAUCUGGCUAGAGUCCGGAAGAGGAGAGUGGAAUUCCUGGUGUAGCGGUGAAAUGCGCAGAUAUCAGGAAGAACACCCGUGGCGAAGGCGGCUCUCUGGGCAUGACCUGACGCUGAGGAGCGAAAGUGUGGGGAGCGAACAGG